CAUCAUGUAAGACAGAUACCUUCAGCGCAGUCAGGAGUGGCCACGCGUCACUUAUCUCAUUAGAAUCUUGAGGUCGCCUGAUCCUUAACAGCAUUCGUUGUUGUCCGCUGCGCUUGGAGAAAGUUGACUUCGCCUGAUCCUUCGUGGAUCUCGGAGUUUAGAUACAUCAGAGGUGGAAUGGGUGAUCAACAUACACCUAAACAAAGGAGAUGAUUUGUGUCGCUAGAAGGACCCUUGAGGGCAUGGAUAGCUUAUGUUACUUGAUACUAAACGCACAGUACAAGACACACGGGGUGAUUUCAUUAAUUCCCCGACUCUACUGUAUGUGGUCUGUCAUGAAAUAAUUAAGUAAGCCGGUGGGAUGACCUUUAAAUUCAAAGCAACAAUGCCGGGUUUACAGGGCAUGAGAUGAUAAAAUGUCACCCUGCCUGCGACCAGCAGCUGGCUCUUUUGAGACAUCUUCAUGGAUGGCUUUGAUGUGAUUAAUUUUCUUAUUGACAUUCCAAAGAAAAUCCUUUUUUCCGGUGUCUGUCUGGUGCUUUUAGUAAUACAGCUGUCAAUCCUAGUCUAUGAUAUCACACUUUUUAAAGUGGCAAAGAGCCUGGAAAAUGCAACUCAACAUUAUCUACACCUUGUGAUGGUAUCACACAUUGUAAGCAUUUUUCUUUCAAUGUUGGCCACCUUAUAUGCUUUUCAGUCAGAUGACAGGAAAUUUAGGGUCAUUGCCCUCACACUGCACUGUCUGAACUUCAUUGUAUGGAUCGGAAGACUCUGGUUUGAAGCUAAUGUCAUACACCUCAAGCCUCGGAUGUAUUCAUUCACUUAAUGGUUUACUAGCUGAAAACAAAGAGUUGUCCAUCAUUAGCAUUCAGAUCAGUCCUGGUGAAGGGAGGCAUUGCACUUCUGAUAUUAGAAGAUCAAGUGUUCUGUACAAGCUUGGCGUUUGUAAUCAUUCUCAUCAAAGCAGCAGAUCUUGAAAACAGGCAGUUCCAGAUUAAGCAGAAUUAAGCAACCACCUCCUCUUGGCAGAAGUCAUCUAUCAACCGCAAAUAAUAAAAUAUUUUAAUGUUUUUUUAUUUAUAUAUGCAUAUACAUAAUUUAUUAAUUUUAUAUGUAAAUAAAAAUACUAAGGCCCCUGUGGGGUAUGUAAACA